CCUACGGGGGGCUGCAGUGGGGAAUAUUGGACAAUGGGGGCAACCCUGAUCCAGCCAUGCCGCGUGUGUGAAGAAGGCCCUCGGGUUGUAAAGCACUUUCAGUGAGGAAGAACGCCUGGUGGUUAAUACCCAUCAGGAAAGACAUCACUCACAGAAGAAGCACCGGCUAACUCCGUGCCAGCAGCCGCGGUAAUACGGAGGGUGCGAGCGUUAAUCGGAAUUACUGGGCGUAAAGCGCGCGUAGGUGGCUUGACAAGCCGGUUGUGAAAGCCCCGGGCUCAACCUGGGAACGGCAUCCGGAACUGUCAAGCUAGAGUGCAGGAGAGGAAGGUAGAAUUCCCGGUGUAGCGGUGAAAUGCGUAGAGAUCGGGAGGAAUACCAGUGGCGAAGGCGGCCUUCUGGACUGACACUGACACUGAGGUGCGAAAGCGUGGGUAGCAAACAGGAUUAGAUACCCGGGUAGUC
rnacentral:rRNA from 1 species